GUGAAGAGCUGAUUAUCAUGCCCCUCUAGAAGCAUGGGACUGGAACUGUUGGGUGGAGAACCUUAUAUCUGGUGCAGCUCCACCUGUGGGAAUGAAACAAAUGUCUUUUUGUUCACAUGUUUAUAAAUGGCUCCUAUUGUGUGAUGACUGAUAGUCCAGGUAGUGGCAUCCAGCUGAGUUCUAACAGUUCGUCUGCACUCUUCCCCAGGCAUAGGUCUGUGGGCUGCAGGGGGCCAGCACUGACUGACAGAGGUCCUGCCGUGAAAGGCGGAGAGCUCCUCAUGGGCCUCAGCAUGCAGCCCCUUUCCCAGGCCCGCCUUGAGGCCUCCGGCCGCUCUGCAG